rnacentral:rRNA from 1 species
CCUAAUACAUGCAAGUCGAGCGGACCGACGGGAGCUUGCUCCCUUAGGUCAGCGGCGGACGGGUGAGUAACACGUGGGUAACCUGCCUGUAAGACUGGGAUAACUCCGGGAAACCGGGGCUAAUACCGGAUGCUUGAUUGAACCGCAUGGUUCAAUCAUAAAAGGUGGCUUUCAGCUACCACUUACAGAUGGACCCGCGGCGCAUUAGCUAGUUGGUGAGGUAACGGCUCACCAAGGCGACGAUGCGUAGCCGACCUGAGAGGGUGAUCGGCCACACUGGGACUGAGACACGGCCCAGACUCCUACGGGAGGCAGCAGUAGGGAAUCUUCCGCAAUGGACGAAAGUCUGACGGAGCAACGCCGCGUGAGUGAUGAAGGUUUUCGGAUCGUAAAACUCUGUUGUUAGGGAAGAACAAGUACCGUUCGAAUAGGGCGGCACCUUGACGGUACCUAACCAGAAAGCCACGGCUAACUACGUGCCAGCAGCCGCGGUAAUACGUAGGUGGCAAGCGUUGUCCGGAAUUAUUGGGCGUAAAGCGCGCGCAGGCGGUUUCUUAAGUCUGAUGUGAAAGCCCCCGGCUCAACCGGGGAGGGUCAUUGGAAACUGGGGAACUUGAGUGCAGAAGAGGAGAGUGGAAUUCCACGUGUAGCGGUGAAAUGCGUAGAGAUGUGGAGGAACACCAGUGGCGAAGGCGACUCUCUGGUCUGUAACUGACGCUGAG